rnacentral:rRNA from 1 species
UACGUAGGGUGCAAGCGUUAAUCGGAAUUACUGGGCGUAAAGCGUGCGCAGGCGGUUUUGUAAGUCAGAUGUGAAAUCCCCGGGCUUAACCUGGGAACUGCAUUGGUGACUGCAUUGCUGGAGUAUGGCAGAGGGGGGUGGAAUUCCACGUGUAGCAGUGAAAUGCGUAGAGAUGUGGAGGAGCACCGAUGGCGAAGGCAGCCCCCUGGGCCAAUACUGACGCUCAUGCACGAAAGCGUGGGGAGCAAACAGG